GACGAACGCUGGCGGCGUGCUUAACACAUGCAAGUCGAACGGAAAGGCCCUGCUUUUGUGGGGUGCUCGAGUGACGAACGGGUGAGUAACACGUGAGUAACCUGCCCUUGACUUUGGGAUAACUUCAGGAAACUGGGGCUAAUACCGGAUAGGAGCUCCUGCUGCAUGGUGGGGGUUGGAAAGUUUCGGCGGUUGGGGAUGGACUCGCGGCUUAUCAGCUUGUUGGUGGGGUAGUGGCUUACCAAGGCUUUGACGGGUAGCCGGCCUGAGAGGGUGACCGGCCACAUUGGGACUGAGAUACGGCCCAGACUCAUACGGGAGGCAGCAGUGGGGAAUAUUGCACAAUGGGCGGAAGCCUGAUGCAGCAACGCCGCGUGCGGGAUGACGGCCUUCGGGUUGUAAACCGCUUUCGCCUGUGACGAAGCGUGAGUGACGGUAAUGGGUAAAGAAGCACCGGCUAACUACGUG
rnacentral:rRNA from 1 species